UCAGACAAUCGUAGCGCGGUGGUCCCACCUGACCCCAUGCCGAACUCAGAAGUGAAACGCCGUAGCGCCGAUGGUAGUGUGGGGUCUCCCCAUGCGAGAGUAGGGAACUGCCAGGC
rnacentral:rRNA from 1 species